UGUUGAUAAAGCUUCAACCACCAAACCGGUCUGUAACCAUGUGAUUUGGCACAGCACAAGGAGCUGUAGCUAACAACACAAAAGGUGAAUAAUUGCAGGUCAUGGCAUUCACCCUCCCUAUUUAAAAGUGAUUAAGCUCUGGGUGAGGGCAGGCAGCUGCAGGUUUGGGCUGCCUUUGUCCCCCUGGCAAUGGCUAACGAAGCACUGAUGUCUGGCAGGACGUCUCCUCCAGCAGCCCCCUUCGCCCAGAGCAGGGCCACUCCAGGGUGGCCUCACUGUGCCCACUCCUGGUGGUGGGUUUUGGAGGGGAUAGGUGCACAACAUGAAUACCAAGGGUCCUCCUUCUCCUGCUGCUCAUUUCUCCACCUGAAUUGGCAGAGGGGAUGUAAAGCUGCAAUGUGGGGAUGAGGUGGGAGGAAGGCAGGCUGGCAGCCACAGAACAAGCCCUCACAACCACUGCUCUCAAGCUCCACUUCUGGUUCCACUGCCAGCUCUGAGCAGUGUUAUCUGCAGCUAAAAGCACUGUGGUGGAGACCAGUUCCUAAAAAAGUGUGGAUUGCUGCUGUUGGAUUGCCAUCAGCCUUGCUCAGCACAGGAACUGAACGUCACAGCCUUCUGACAACUUUGCAAAUGGAUGCAUCUCCUGUUGCCAUGGAAAUGGACCUGAGCUCACUGAAAGCUGGGUAAUGGGCUCUAAAGUCAUCACUCCUUAUAUUGAAAAUAUGUUGGGGUGAUAUCAGUUGGUAGUAGUAGUAAUAAUAAUAAUAAUAAUAACAUCUCAGCUUGUGGAAUAUAGUCUUUGCUGGGUUUGUUUUACAGUAGUGUUAUGUUCAUGUUUGUAUGUGAAUUAUCUGGUGAAAUAUAACCCUCUCAUUUAUUUUGUACUUACUGACCACAGUGUUGCAGCUGUUAGAUACCACCCAAACCCAGCAACAGGGAGAGCAUCACUAAGAAAAUGGAUUUGAGGAACACAAUUGUUUGUUUUAACUAACCAGGUGGAUGGACACAACUGACCAUUUCUUUUAUCAUCAGUGUCUUGUUGCACAACCAUUUUCCAUUAGUCCUGAAGUGUUUGCUUGAUCUACUGCCAUUAGAAUAUAUGUUAAAGUUCAAUAUAAUUAUGUCCCACGUUAACGUCCUUUCAUUUUGCUGUGUUCAGCAAUCUCCAGCUUUGCCUUAGUUUCACAGAGUUCUUAGUUGUACUUAAAAUGUUUGCCUCUAGCUUCAUAGUAACAUCUUGCUAAUCAAACAAUACUGGCAAAGAAAAUUAUGCUAUGCAGAUAAACUUGACCAUGAGAAUUUAUACUGUAAAAAAAAUUAAGGAUUUUAGGGAAUAACUGUGGCUGUAGUCGAAAGGGUGAAUGCAGGGCUGCAAACAAAGAAAAUAAAAGAUAGAAGUCAUCUUCUCAGCCUAUGGUUUUGUGGAAAAACCUACACUUAUCAAGAAUCCUGCAAAAAACAAUAUGCCAGUCUUCACCUUGAGAUAUUUUAAUAGGUUGCUCUUUAAUUAUUUACCUUCAUCAAAUUAGCAGGAGAGUAGUUUUUUUACUGUAAUAUCAGCUGUUGAGAAACAGUAUUGUACACCAGAAACUAUUGUGAUUUUUUAUUACUGCGGCAUAUUAAAAUAUGAUCUUGAAAUGCUUUUAAAUCUGAGCAGCAGUCAUAUCAAUACACUAUAGGAAAAUGAGAUGUAUGCUUUUAAUUCCUGGGAAAACCUGUUACUCUUAGAGGAUGUGCAAACAUCUUAGGCUGAAAUAAUGCUGAAAUGAACAGUGUGUUCAUUCAGACUCUCCACCUUAAUUUGUAUACUUGCAGUGUGCUUAUUUUUAUUUACUGAUCAGUAAAUAGAUAGUAGAUAGAUAAAUGGGUUUUGAGACUAUUUGCUUUCAAAAUGUUCUUCAUCAAUCCUCUGUCAAGUUAAAGAGAAAACUUAGUAACCAUUUUAAUCUGUUUCCCAAAACCUGGCUUGUCUCCUUAUGGUGCCUAGCAGCACUGAAUUAUUUCCAAGCCUAUGCAGAGUGUCCUGCUAUAUUUGUUUUAAAAGAUGCCUAAACUUUGU